UUACGGCUAUAUCACAUUGAAAAACCGGUUCUCGUCCGACCACCGAAGUUAAGCAACAUCGAACCUGGUCAGUACCACGAUGAGUAACCGCUUGGGAAUACCAAGUGCUGUAAG